rnacentral:rRNA from 1 species
AGAGUUUGAUCCUGGCUCAGAUUGAACGCUGGCGGUAGGCUUAACACAUGCAAGUCGAGCGGAAACGAAGGUAGCUUGCUAUCAGGCGUCGAGCGGCGGACGGGUGAGUAACGCGUGGGAAAGUAAUACUUAGGAAUCUACCCAGUAGCGGGGGACAACUCGGGGAAACUCGAGCUAAUACCGCAUACGCCCUAUGGGGGAAAGCAGGGGAUCUUCGGACCUUGCACUAUUGGAUGAGCCUAAGUCAGAUUAGCUUGUUGGUGGGGUAAAAGCCUACCAAGGCGACGAUCUGUAGCUGGUCUGAGAGGACGAUCAGCCACACUGGAACUGAGACACGGUCCAGACUCCUACGGGAGGCAGCAGUGGGGAAUAUUGCACAAUGGGGGAAACCCUGAUGCAGCAAUGCCGCGUGUGUGAAGAAGGCCCGAGGGUUGUAAAGCACUUUCAGUAAGGAGGAAAAGUAUAUGGUUAAUAACCCUUAGGAUUGACGGUACCAAUACAAAAAGCACCGGCUAACUCCGUGCCAGCAGCCGCGGUAAUACGGAGGGUGCAAGCGUUAAUCGGAAUUACUGGGCGUAAAGCGUGCGUAGGCGGUUUGUUAAGUCAGAUGUGAAAGCCCCGGGCUUAACCUGGGAACUGCAUUUGAUACUGGCAAACUAGAAUGUGGUAGAGGGAAGUGGAAUUCCUCAUGUAGCGGUGAAAUGCGUAGAUAUGAGGAGGAACACCAGUGGCGAAGGCGACUUCCUGGACCAACAUUGACGCUGAGGUACGAAAGCGUGGGUAGCAAACAGGAUUAGAUCCCCUGGUAGUCCACGCCGUAAACGAUGUCUACUAGCCGUUGGGGGGCUUGUCCCUUUAGUGGCGCAGCUAACGCGAUAAGUAGACCGCCUGGGGAGUAUGGUCGCAAGGCUGAAACUUAAAGGAAUUGACGGGGGCCCGCACAAGCGGUGGAGCAUGUGGUUUAAUUCGAUGCAACGCGAAGAACCUUACCUACCCUUGACAUCCAUGAGAACUGUUAGAGAUAGUAUAGUGCCUUCGGGAAUUCUGUGACAGGUGCUGCAUGACUGUCGUCAGCUCGUGUCGUGAGAUGUUGGGUUAAGUCCCGUAACGAGCGCAACCCUUAUCCUUAGUUGCUAGCAGGUAAUGCUGAGAACUCUAGGGAGACUGCCGGUGAUAAACCGGAGGAAGGUGGGGACGACGUCAAGUCAUCAUGGCCCUUAUGGGUAGGGCUACACACGUGCUACAAUGGCCGGUACAGAGGGCUGCUAACUCGCGAGAGUACGCUAAUCCCUUAAAGCCGGUCCUAGUCCGGAUUGGAGUCUGCAACUCGACUCCAUGACGCUUGAAUCGCUAGUAAUCGCGGAUCAGAAUGCCGCGCUGAAUACGUUCCCGGGCCUUGUACACACCGCCCGUCACACCAUGGGAGUGGGUUGCAAAAGAAGUGGGUAGACUAACCUUCGGGAGGUCGCUCACCACUUUGUGAUUCAUGACUGGGGUGAAGUCGAAACAAGGUAGCC